rnacentral:rRNA from 1 species
AUUGAACGCUGGCGGCACGCCUAACACAUGCAAGUCGAGCGGCAGCGCGAUCAGUAGCAAUACUGAUUGGCGGCGAGCGGCGGACGGGUGAGUAACACGUAGGAACCUGCCCAGAAGUGGGGGAUAACUAAUGGAAACGUUAGCUAAUACCGCAUACCUUCGGGAGAAGAAAGCUGCAGCAAUGUGGCGCUUUUGGAGGGGCCUGCGUACGAUUAGCUAGUUGGUGAGGUAAUGGCUCACCAAAGCGAUGAUCGUUAACUGGUCUGAGAGGAUGAUCCGCCACACUGGGACUGAGACACGGCCCAGACUCCUACGGGAGGCAGCAGUGGGGAAUAUUGGACAAUGGGGGGAACCCUGAUCCAGCCAUGCCGCGUGUGUGAAGAAGGCCUUAUGGUUGUAAAGCACUUUAAGCGAGGAGGAGGCUCUUUUGGUUAAUACCCAAGAUGAGUGGACGUUACUCGCAGAAUAAGCACCGGCUAACUCUGUGCCAGCAGCCGCCGCAG